rnacentral:misc_RNA from 1 species
UCCUCUUUACAGAGGCAGUUUGUUCCGAGUCCCCGACAUUACUCGCUGGUAACAGAACAUGAGGGUUGCGCUCGUUGCGGGACUUAACCCAACAUUUCACAACACGAGCUGACGACAGCCAUGCACCACCUGCGCUCCACCCUCGAAGGCGACCACUUUUCGGCGGCUUGCAGGAACAUGUCAAGCCCUGGUAAGGUUCUUCGCGUUGCAUCGAAUUAAGCCAUAUGCUCCACCGCUUGUGCGGGCCCCCGCCAAUUCCUUUGAGUUUUAAUCUAGCGAUCGUAGUUCCCAGGCGGUUCACUUAAUGCGUUAGCUGCGGCACCGAGCACCCAUCGUUUACAGCGUGGACUAC